GCAGAAGGAUCAUUAGUGAAGAUUUGGGCAGGCCAUACGGACGCCAAAAAGUGUCCCUGGCCGCCUACACCCACUAUACAUCCACAAACCCGUGUGCACUGCCUUGGAGAAAGGCUUCAGAGAAGUUUUUUGUGGCCUCUCUUGGGGUCUUUCUUCGCUACAAACUCGAAUGGUUAGUAUGAACGUGGAACUUGGUUGGACCGUCACUGGCCAACAAACUAUACACAACUUUCGACAACGGAUCUCUUGGUUCUCCCA
rnacentral:misc_RNA from 1 species